rnacentral:rRNA from 1 species
UGAACGCUGGCGGCAUGCCUAACACAUGCAAGUCGAACGAGAUUUUCGGAUCUAGUGGCGCACGGGUGAGUAACGCGUGGGAACCUACCUUUUAGUACGGGACAACGUUUGGAAACGAACGCUAAUACCGUAUACUCCCUCCGGGGGAAAGGUCAGCCGCUGAAAGAGGGGCCCGCGUCUGAUUAGCUUGUUGGUAAGGUAAUGGCUUACCAAGGCUACGAUCAGUAGCUGGUCUGAGAGGAUGAUCAGCCACACUGGGACUGAGACACGGCCCAGACUCCUACGGGAGGCAGCAGUGGGGAAUAUUGGACAAUGGAGGCAACUCUGAUCCAGCAAUGCCGCGUGUGUGAAGAAGGCCCUAGGGUUGUAAAGCACUUUCAACGGUGAAGAUGAUGACGGUAGCCGUAGAAGAAGCCCCGGCUAACUUC